rnacentral:lncRNA from 1 species
AAAAAACUCACAGCUUACAGUAAGGUUUAUAUGGGGUUUGACUGUUAACAAAAUUAUCAAGAAGCAUGCAAUUGCCGUGUUAGAGGAAAUCUCAAUAAAUUCAGGAUCCCACUUCCAUCAACCUCUAUUGAUCACCAAUGUGAGGAAUCCAGAUCUUUCAAUGUAAAAACAGUUUGACUUCGACUUGACAACUGACGUCAUUACUCGGCAUCUAAGACUGGGACCGAAAAUUAGACGAGAGCGCAACGAACACUACAUAAAAGAUUUUUUCAGUCAAAAUCAAAGAGAAUGGGCAGAUAUGUAUGUGUAGGAUGUACUAAAUCAGGCACAAUGCACUCCAAUUAGGUUGCGUCCCUCUCAACUGUGAAUUCUUGGUUAGAGUACUAAUUGCUAUAUAAAUCAAUCGAACCUUCGGCAAAAGAACGGUAUUUUGUACGUGGUGUUGUUGUAGUCCACGUAAAAGGGCUUCCAUUGGUACAAGAAUUAUAUGAAAACUAUUCGGUACAAAAAAGAAAGGACUCUCAUAGGCUGCAUUCAGCAAUAUUUACAAAGCUACGACCUGGUUACUGCUCUCGGCAAAACAACUGAAACGUUAAACAAACUGCCAUACCCUAACAUGCACGAGACAGCGCAGUCCAACCAACUUUGAGCUUCAAAUUUUGUGAUUCUAUUUCCCAACUCUCGAAUGGAAGGAAUCUUCAACUUCAAGAGGACACACAACCGCAGUAGCUACUGCUGAGGAAGCAAUUAGCACUUCUUAAUUCCCAAUAGUUCGUUUAUGACAGGAACAAUAUGUGAGCAGCUGAAAAAACAUUUCUCCACGAGCUAAGUCCAUACAAUUAUUAAAGGAAACAAGGAAAAUUAAAAUAAAUAAAUAAAUAAAUAAAUAAAACUGCAGAUCGUAGGAGAGGAUUCAAAUUCGCUUGCUACAUCACGAAAGCACCACACCCACGAAACUUAACCUUCGAAAUCCAUCACAGUUGCAAAUUCCUAUGCCCUGAUGUACAUAUAGGUGAGCCAAGAGCCUCGGUUUCGCAUACGCAACAUGCCCAACUGCAUCAUUCAGAGAAUUGUCUUA